rnacentral:rRNA from 1 species
UACGAAGGGGGCUAGCGUUGUUCGGAUUUACUGGGCGUAAAGCGCACGUAGGCGGAUCGUUAAGUCGGGGGUGAAAUCCUGGAGCUCAACUCCAGAACUGCCUUCGAUACUGGCGAUCUUGAGUCCGGAAGAGGUGAGUGGAACUCCUAGUGUAGAGGUGGAAUUCGUAGAUAUUAGGAAGAACACCAGUGGCGAAGGCGGCUCACUGGUCCGGUACUGACGCUGAGGUGCGAAAGCGUGGGGAGCCAAACA